GGGUUAAAACAUUAUAUAAAAAUAUUAAAGGCUGUAUGCUAAAUAAUGGUUGGAUUUCAGAAACCUACAAUGUAUAUCGUGGGAUACGACAAGGGUGUCCAUGCAGUUCUCUAAUUUUCACAAUAGCAGUAGAAAUUCUCGCAUGUAGAAUAAGACAAGAUACUGGUAUUAAGGGAUUUCAAAUUAAAUUAGACUCCAAAACACAUAGUCUGAAAAUUUCACAACUAGCAGAUGAUACUACUCUCUUUUUAAAAUGUAAGCAGGAAAUAAGCUAUGCUUUAAACUUGAUUGAAAUAUUUGGAACACUCUCAGGUCUUAAACUUAACCGAUCUAAAACAGAG
rnacentral:lncRNA from 1 species